CGGAGGGUGCAAGCGUUAUCCGGAUUCACUGGGUUUAAAGGGUGCGUAGGUGGGCAAGUAAGUCAGUGGUGAAAUCUCCGGGCUUAACCCGGAAACUGCCAUUGAUACUAUUUGUCUUGAAUACUGUGGAGGUCAGCGGAAUAUGUCAUGUAGCGGUGAAAUGCUUAGAUAUGACAUAGAACACCAAUUGCGAAGGCAGCUGGCUACACAAAUAUUGACACUGAGGCACGAAAGCGUGGGGAUCAAACAGGAUUAGAUACUCUGGUAGUCCACGCCCUAAACUAUGGAUACUCGACAUUUGCGAUAAACUGCAAGUGUCUGAGCGAAAGCAUUAAGUAUCCCACCUGGGAAGUACGAUCGCAAGAUUG
rnacentral:rRNA from 1 species